rnacentral:rRNA from 1 species
GGUCCCAAGGGUUGGGCUGUUCGCCCAUUAAAGCGGUACGCGAGCUGGGUUUAGAACGUCGUGAGACAGUUCGGUCCCUAUCCGCCGUGCGCGCAGGAGAUUUGAGGAGAGCCGACCUUAGUACGAGAGGACCGGGUUGGACGGACCGCUAGUGCACCGGUUGUUCCGCCAGGAGCAUCGCCGGGUAGCCAUGUCCGGAAGGGAUAAGCGCUGAAAGCAUCUAAGUGCGAAGCCCACUCCAAGAUUAGAUCUCCCACCGGGUUAACCGGGUAAGACCCCAGGUAGACCACCUGGUUGAUAGGCCGCGGGUGUAAGAGCAGCAAUGCUUUGAGCUGAGCGGUACUAAUCGGUCGAGGGCUUGACCAC